UACGUAGGUGGCAAGCGUUGUCCGGAAUUAUUGGGCGUAAAGCGCGCGCAGGCGGUCCUUUAAGUCUGAUGUGAAAGCCCACGGCUCAACCGUGGAGGGUCAUUGGAAACUGGGGGACUUGAGUGCAGGAGAGAAGAGUGGAAUUCCACGUGUAGCGGUGAAAUGCGUAGAUAUUGGGAAGAACACCGGUGGCGCAAGCGACUCGCUGGGCCAUUACUGACGCUGAGGAGCGAAAGCGUGGGGAGCGAACAGG
rnacentral:rRNA from 1 species